AUCGUAUGCGCCGCGUUCGGUGCUCGCAUGCGCAUUCGGUGCAUGCAGUUAAACGGGAAACAGGAGGCGGACAUCCGCCCGGCCUGUGCUGUCCCCGCAACGGUACGCCGCCCGCGCCACGCGCUUCCUCGCGCGUGCGCCCAGGCCGCCCGCGAUGCCACUGCCCUUCAACCGGGCGGGAAGGCUGCGGUCUGGCAAGCGGCCAGCCCGGAUACCGGCCGACGCAAGGGGCGAGCGC
rnacentral:ncRNA from 2 species